GGAUCGAUAGCUCAGUGGUAGAGCGAGAGAUUGCAGUUUUACGCAGUUAUCUCUAGGCCCCGCGUUCGAACCGCGGUCGGUCCU
rfam:Colletotrichum higginsianum, IMI 349063, WGS project CACQ02000000 data, contig: cont1.2286